CAAAAAAAAAAGUUGCUGAAUUUGAUUUUUAUUGUUUUCUUUCAGAGUUGAUUUACAUUGCUUUCUCUGGUGUAGAAGCUAUGUAGUAUUAAUGAGGAGGUUACAUUUAUCGUUGUACCAUUAUUGACUAGCAUUUAAAUUUAAUGAAUUUAAUGUGUGUUGAUCUCUCACCCUUUUUUUCUUUCCCCUACUUCACGCUCUACACGUUUUCUAACUAUUCGAUUUCUUACGUACCCUUACCAUAUUUUUGUCACAUUUAACUUUCUAUUUAAUUUUACAUCUUUAUGACAUUAAAUUUAUACAUCCUCCUUCUUCACAACAGCAAUAUCGAACCCACUAUUGAUACCUAAAUGUACUGUUUCUUAUAUGUUUCCUUAUAAUAUACAGUAGUAUUUUCUUGUAAUUAUUUUAGUAGUUUCUUGUACUGUUAGUUUUUUUUGCCAACUUUUGUAGUAAUCGUCGAAUGGAGGAGAGACAGAGCCAAAAGUGUCUUAAAUGCGAUAGUGAGAGCAUUAAAUGCUAAGCGUCUCUCCAUAAUUACUUUUCAAACCUUAUUACUUCAAUUAGUGAUUUGACUAAUUCCUUUUUGUUAGUCAACCGUGGUUAGUUAAUGCUAGUACUAGUAGCACUGAUUAGUGACUAAUGUGCAAUUAAUUACGCAAGAAAAUCGUUACAGAUUUUUUAAAAUCUUCAUUUCAAUUGCCGUUUCGAACUUUUUUCCAUGUUGUUGGCUUUGAAAACACAUUUCAGACACUUCCUAAAUCGUGUUUAAAUUACAAUCACGGGAAAAAUAUACCGACGUUAUUUAUGUAUUUUGCUUAAUUGUUUGCAAGUCAUCAUUUAGAAAAGUAUUUGUAUAAUUAAUGGCAACAGAAAUGGGAAGAUAUUAAUUAAUUGGCUUUUUUAGGAAAUAGGAAGGUGUAAACAUUUAAGAACAGACCCAUAUAGCUUUGAAUAAUAAGUUUCUUCCUUUAUUUUUCUACAAUUUUCUAUUUAGGCUCUUAGGGUGACGAAGUGAUGAUGCUCACGGAUGAUAUUCUUACAUACCUAACAUUUAAUACCACCCUUUAUUUACAUACACAAAUACUUUAUCGGGAUUGAUCCAUUGACGUAGGAAAGUUACUUCUAAUAAAUAUCUCAACAAAUUGUUUCAAAAAAUGAAAUAAUAUUUCAACAAACUUUUUCUGAACAAUUUAUAUGUUAUUUGGUGUACAUUAAUGUAUAUUCAUAGAAUAUAUAAACCAAUGAUUUUCGAGUUUUUUUUGUUUGUGAGGAUACUUUUCCUAACCAGACGGCUGGUUCUAAAUGUGUAACCGUAUCAAUAUAAAAUGCAAUGUGUAUUAAAUUUGGUAUAUUAAUGUAUAUGGCAGUGAGACUGGUCUUAGGAUUUCAAUGCAUUUAAAUGAAAGAUUGGUGAGGUUAUUAAAUUGAAAAUUAAAUGAAAUUAGAUUUAUUUUAAUGCACAUAAUAAACCUUAAAAUCCCAGGCAUUUACUCACUCUGAAGUCUAUUUAAGUAUUAAAAUAUAAAUUCUCCGUUUUAUUUUCUUUUAGGUUGGAGUGGAAUAUUGGUUUCCUAUUAAAAUGUAGAUAUAUUAUUUGUAAUACUGCAUGAUUUAUUUGUAAGCGAAAUACAUACAGUAUUUGUUUUGUAUACAUCCAAGCGCUGCACAAGCAUUCCAAUAAAUAUCCAAAAUAGAUUGAUCGAGCACAGUGAUAGAAUAUAGUAUCAACAAAUACUCACAUGCUUGUAACAAAAAAAUAACUCACAUGUGAACAAGGAACUAAAGAGAGUUUCAUAAACUAAAAAAUUAGGUCGAGGUCGAGGUCGAGAAUCAAGUGUUUUUACAUCUAUGGAUCACCAUCAUAUUCAUAUAUCUGUAGCUCGUGGGUUUCAAAAAGAUAGGCCCAUGUAGAGUGUACUAAGCGCACUUAACUUAAGCCCCAACUAUUAUUCCUUUCAUCUUGUUUUGAGUAAAUGUACUUAUGUCCGUUAAUCCUUAAUUCUUUUUCUAACACCAAAUGCUUGUACUAAAAUUGAAGGUCCAAUGGAAUAACUUUGUCACAACUGAAAAAAUCUUCAAUGGUAAACUGAUAAAUAAAAAUAACUAAAAAAUAACGAAGAACAUAUGUAAAUAGAUCCGUAAUUUUUUUUUCACUCGAAGUUGCUAACUCGAUGUCCGUUAAUCCAUAAAAACGAAUAACUGAGAGUCCUUAUUAUCACUUCUAUAAAGUAAUAAUAUGAUAAUUAAUAAAAGGUAAGUUUGAUUCUAUAGUUAACUUUUUGAUAAAUUAGUAUCUCUUAAAAUUAAUAAAAUAUUAUAAUUUUGAUGUUAUUAGUUCAUAAAUUUUUAUUGUAUAUUAAUAUAUUAAAUGACGUGUUAGUGAUGCUAUAGACUAUAGAUCUGCAUGUCUCAGUUAUUGGCUGUAAAUCAAAUGGAAUAAUUACAAAAAUCUCUGGUAGAAUCUAACUAAUACUAAAACGGAUAUAAAGAGGAGUAGUCAGACUGUCCACGUCGUCAUUUUAAAUCAGCCAAUAGAGUAUCUGAAAUUCGCCACGUCAAAAGCCCAUAGCCCUUAUAAAACCUACCUGCCAAAAUCUCCUAGGCAUCAAUUUUUUUUUUGUCAUCUGAUAGAUUAAGAUUAUAUCAAACAUUCGGUUACACGCAUACAAUAACGACAUUGUCUGAAGUCAAGAGUCGACGAGGUAACAAGUACCACCCGAAGCCAAGAGCCGGCGAGGUAACAAGUACCACCCGGAGCCAAAAGAUAAACAUAACACACUCUUAAAGUUAAUAUAUAACCAUGAAAAAGGAGACAAAAGUCAGAAGAGUGAUAACCAAGCUUCAGCAAGGAAUGCUCAACCAUGCACUCGAAGAUGAACUUACCUAGCGAGACCUCAUCAACCACUAACACCAGUAGAAAGGAGUAACAAGAAGGACUGGAAGCACACGAACAUCACCAAUACAUAUAACUGAACUAAAAGAGGUUAGAAUCUUUAACCGUCGCUGUAAACACUCUUCAAUCCCAACUAAGUCUCGCCAUUGGACCUUGAAAGAGUUCUCCACGCGCCUCAUACGCACCAUCAUACCAUCACCCUAAGGCAAAGCCUAAAAAAGCUUCCCGACUACGUCUUAUUCAACAGCCGGUAACUAGAUAAAAACCACUCCAAAUCCAACAUUAACACGAGCAAAUCAGCGGCAAUCGACCAUCACUGAAGCAAAAAUUCCAGAAAAAACAUCUAUCUCCUUUCGAUCCUCUCAAACACUAGAAAUGGUCUCGCAAAGUGAAACAACUCUUUGACCCCUAAAAUUAGACCUCUAGACACACAGUACUUACUAACACAAUGGCGACAAGCCAAAAUCGGCAAACAAUACAACUCAAGCUAAUGGGCCCUAAUGAUAAGCGUGACGUUCUUGGCCAAACAUCAAAAUCCGCCGAAGGCGCACACCGAGAAGGACUCACUACCACCGGCUUUCACUACUCCGUUCCUCAGCCACAAAACGAACACGAAGUCCGACUGAAAGUGCGGGUUCGGUAAUGGACACGAGCUGGUUUAACAGAUUCAGAAGUGUGGAUCUCGAACCGCCGGGAUGAGACCGAAGUCACUUUCCGGACGCUGGGACGUCGCCCUUGAUGCAUGUUGUCACCGAGAGCCAGUAGACAAACCUCUGUACACAAAUCGUCGGUCCUCUCCUCUGUUUUGCUCACCGCUCCGCGGGACCAGAGAACUAAGGUGGGAGGCGUCUUGCUAAGACCGAGACGGAUUCGCCGUAGAUCUGAAAUUGGGAAACUAGGUCUGGCAAACCCAAACCCUAAAAGCCGACUCCCUCCCCUUCUACCGUUCGACCAGCCUCGCUGCUACUCCAAGGAUAGCCUGAGCCUUACGUCGUCGCCCACCCAAAGUGGAUCUCCGACUUGACCCGACAAAACCAGAGUCGCAAGCAUAUCGGCAAGGGAAGAUGCUUCGAGGGAGAGAGCAAAAAGAAAAAGAGAGGUAAGGGGAAGAGGAGGACCUCCGGCGCCGGAAAGGCCGGGCCGGAGUUACGGACUCUUUUAUCGCGACUCUUUUUGCUCUGUUUCACUUCAAACGUAUCUCACUACUUGUGGUCUAUCUCCUAGGCAUCAAUUAAAACGACGCUUUCCAAUUCCUGAGAUUGUUUCUUGAGCGAUCCUUCGGUCUGAGCCAGAGCUUGGGGAUGCGAAAUCACGCGCGUAAUGCAGUCUGCACGGACUCCGGGGAAAGCAAGGAGUCAGUCGUGGACAGGGAUCUGAACCUGACCGACGAUGUGGAGAAGGUGACGGAGGAGGAGAUCGUAGUUUCUGUGAAUCGAACCUCCGAGAGAAUUCUCCACCGGGAGGACGGCACGAUCCGCGAUCCAGAGCUCCACCGCCUGAAACGCGACGUCGAAUUGAUCACACGGGAUAGCUUCAGAGUUCGGGUAAGAUUUUCCGGCGGCAGCUUCGGAGUACGAGCCGGGAACUCCUUGGUACGCGACAUGGAGGGUGGAUCCAUGAGCCGGCGCCGGCGAAAGAUCUGUGUUUGUUAACGGAUGAACCAAUCCAGGCUUUCCGUUCUUCGUCUCUGACGGAACGAGGCUGAGAUUGACAGAGCCGUUACUUGCUUUAAUCAUGCAAAGCGAUUUCAGAGCUUCUUACUCAGUUUUCGCCGCUGGAACUAGAUUGGAUGUGCUGUUCUCCAUGUACCUCAGAUUUAUAAGCAAAUCUACAACCUGUUCUGAUAUUUCUGUUGAAUUGCAGGUUAUGGCUUUGAAGGAAUGAGGACAGAUUAAUCUACGAGGAAGCAAAGGCCACAACCAAGUUCUUUAUUUCUUGAUCAAAAACAUCUUAUAUCCUAUGUAAAUUAUCUCUCUGUGAUAACCUGAAGAACAUAUAAUUUUUUUUUGUUGUAUGUGAUGGUCGAGAAAAUGAUUACAUGAUUUGGGAUGUGGACUAAUUAACAUAUUUUAAUGAUUCGACAAUUAGUGAUGCAGUAAGUAAUUCUUUGUUUAA